UACGUAGGGUGCAAGCGUUAAUCGGAAUUACUGGGCGUAAAGCGUGCGCAGGCGGUUUUGUAAGUCUGACGUGAAAUCCCCGGGCUUAACCUGGGAAUUGCGUUGGAGACUGCAAGGCUGGAGUCUGGCAGAGGGGGGUAGAAUUCCACGUGUAGCAGUGAAAUGCGUGGAGAUGUGGAGGAACACCGAUGGCGAAGGCAGCCCCCUGGGUCAAGACUGACGCUCAUGCACGAAAGCGUGGGGAGCAAACAGG
rnacentral:rRNA from 1 species